rnacentral:rRNA from 1 species
UACGGGGGAUGCAAGCGUUAUCCGGAUUUAUUGGGUUUAAAGGGUGCUUAGGCGGCAUGGUAAGCCAGAUGUGAAAGCCUUGGGCUUAACCCGAGGAUUGCAUUUGGAACUAUCAAGCUAGAGUACAGGAGAGGAAAGCGGAAUUCCUAGUGUAGCGGUGAAAUGCGUAGAUAUUAGGAAGAACACCAGUGGCGAAGGCGGCUUUCUGGACUGAAACUGACGCUGAGGCACGAAAGCGUGGGGAGCGAACAGG